ACAUUUAUUUUUUCGUAUGCUAUCUAUCCAUCACAGUUCAGAAAACGAAAAUGCAGAUAGGCUGCAAUGCCGUAAAAAAAUGCCUGUUCAACUCGUAAUAUUAGGUUAUGUAACCAAACUAGUAAUAUAUAAUGCAUCCUUCUGAGUAGUUAUGGGAGCUAACAUUUGUCUCCUCUGUUAUCUUGGCCUGAAUAUUAAUCAUCUAAACUUUGCAAGUACAAAGGUAUUACAGAUUCAUGUCUGUUUCAGUCGUGGAAGUGGUAAUUGAAGCUUCUACAGAAGAUCUUUUGAAAAACAGGCAAGUAGCAGAGCAUAGAGUAGGCCAUCAGUCUGGGAUAUGAUCAUUAUGGCGAAACUCUUCCGUAUUAUUUUUGCUGAUAUAAUUGUUAUGGCAACUCUUGAAUGUGUUAUGUUAUUCUUACUUUGGAAUUUCUGUAAUGGAAAAUUUGUUAAUGCUUAUGCAUUUUUCUGUGUGUUAAUUUAUUAUGAUGUCGAAAUUUGGAACUGUCAUACAUUCUCCCCAAAACAAAUUUCAAAUGUUUUCGUUUAAAUGCUUUCUAGUCCUGUUUGGAGCAUUUGAAGGAUGAUAUCAUUCUUUCCUAUGUUAGGGGUUAGCUUCAAAUACCCAAAUUCUAUAUUCAAAUGUAAAAUAUAUUUUCAGAAAUCUUAAUUCUUAAGAGUCUACUGAGCUAGCACCUCUGUAUGAGAAGUCAACUAAAAAGCAUAACUCUUUGCUUUUAUAUAUAUAGUUGUUUUCUUCAAAAGACUGUAAAGCCUGUCUACACUGUAUCAUUGGUGGUAUUCAACGGUCGAGGAACGGGUACCCAAUGAAAGGCAACCAAUACUAGCAGCUCAUCUCACCCAAUGAAGGGCAACAAAGUCCAAGCCAUGUGACUGUUUUUCUUACAGUAAUAACAUACAAUUUUAUUAUUAUU